GGGGGAGGGGGAGGAGUCGAGGGGGGGGUUUGGGCGAGGGGAGGCGAGUGGCUUAGUGCAUCACACAUGUCUGCAUAAUGAAGUCAAGUUUCUGAAUAUCUGAAACAGAAGAGGAAAACUCCAGUGUUUCUUUGGAAGGAGCAGCAGGAUUGACCUUGGCCCCCCACUGCUCCAUCCUAAUAGAGAUAUGGUACCACUGACCAACAUUCGACUCAGAGUCUUUGAAAUACACAAACUUAAUACGACUACUUCUAUACAUAUUUAACUGCUAUUUUACACUGUUAUUAUCCUAACCUACUUAAACGUUACAAUGAGAGGUGGCAUUCUCUGUAUUUUCAUGGGUUUGGAGCUUUGUUUAUAUUAUGAGCAUGACUUAAAAGUCAGAUGAUAUUACCUGGCCAUCCAUCCAGCAGCAGACGCGAAGAGCUGGGGGCGAUUUGUUUUCCCAUGGGUGACUGUUUCUGCCAGUGCAGCAUAUUGUCACAGCAGGGCAUAUUGUCUGUGUCCAGCACUCUUGUCCUAGCACUGUGAAAGUCAGGCGUUCAGUGAAGCUAACAGAUCUCGAUGUGCACACACACACAGGCACACACACAGGCGCACACACAGGCGCACACACAGGCACACACACAGGCACACACACAGGCACACACACAGGCACACACACAAGCACACACACAAGCACACACACAGGCACACACACAGGCACACACACACACACAGGCACACACACACAGGCACACACACAGGCACACACACAGGCACACACACACAGGCACACACACAGGCACACACACAGGCACACACAGGCACACACACACACAGGCACAGGCACACGCACAGGUACAGGCACACACACAGGCACACGCACAGGCACACGCACAGGCACACGCACAGGCACACGCACAGGCACACACACAGGCACAGGCACAGGCGCACACACACAGGCACACACACAGGCACACACACAGGCACACACACAGGCACACACAGGCACACACACACACAGGCACACACACACACAGGCACACACACACACAGGCACACACACAGGCACACACACAGGCACACACACAGGCACACACACACAGGCACACACACAGGCACACACACACACAGGCACACACACACACAGGCACACACACACAGGCACACACACACAGGCACACACACACAGGCACACACACAGGCACACACACAGGCACACAGAUUGCAGUUGCAUUCCCUGGCAUCGUUUACCACGAGGAGGAUUGUUCAUAGAGCUCGUUUCCAGUUUGUAUUCUCUCUAAAUGUGAGCCACACUGGGCCACUAUGAGACAAUAUAAACACACACACACAGACACUGAGAUACAGGUGUGAUCUUCAGACCAGUGAAAGAGUCACUGUGGAAGGCUUUUAAGCGGAAAUCCCUGCGUUUACAUUUUUUGUAGCUUCCAGGAGAGAAGGAGGGACCUUCAGAGUGUGAUGGAAAUGAUUAGAUAGAACUAGCAUUAGAAGAGAGAGAGUGAGCGUAUGUAUGUACGUAUGUAUAUGUGUGUGUGUGUGUGUGUAGUCACAUCAGGGGUGGCUAUGGCGAUUAAAAACAAAUACUUGAUGUCAGCAUGUAAACUGGUGAUGCUUGUCUUUGUAAGACAUUGUUACCUCCCUCAAUAAACACUCUCUUACCAAGGAAGGAAUUUCACAACUUAACAAUUUUCACAAUUUCCAGAGGGGGACCAUAUACUAGACUGGCUCCUGUAUGCUGGUUUGCUUUUCACCCUUCACACAAUGAUGGUGCUCUACAGGGUGCGUGUUUCAUUUCAAACAAAGGGCCGGAACACUUUACUCUGUUACAGGUUGACGUCUCUCUUACUCAUUUGGGAAUUAUUAUUUGCUGGUUUCUGGUCACUAUGACGUUUCUCUCUUAGACCUUGAGCUCUGUUAUGGCUGCAGCAAUUUAACUUUCUUUAUUCUGGAAAAGUUUGAGCUCAUAUAUAUAUAUAUAUAUAUAUAUUUCUUUUUUGUAUAAAAAUCUGAACAUAUUUUUACUCAUUAAAUACUAGUUCUGUGUGUGGCUUCUUAUCCUGGUUUCUCAUUUAUCGGAAAUGUCCUAUAUAAACUGUACAUUAUGGAACACUGUAACAAUACUCCCAAACGAAACAUUUUAGGGUGUUUUGUCUUUAUAUGUAUAACAAUAUCACUACACAUGGUGAGGCUCGUGUGUGUGGGUGUCUGAGAGAGAGUAAUACUGUGUGAGACAGAAAUACCACACACACACACUCAUCUAUAAAUACUCUGAAUAGCUCCAUCUGUGGCCUUUCAGAUCAGACUGGAGCUCCUUUUGUGAAGGAGCGACUGUAGGCCCUGUCAGGGGCUGUGCUGUGCUGUCCUGUCCUGUCCUGUCCUGAGGACAUUCAAUUCAAUUCAAUUUGAUUUAUAUAACAAUACAAUUGUCUCUAGGCGCUUUACAGAGCCCAGAGCCUGAACCCCCUUAGUGCAAGCACAUUGGCAACACGGGCAAGAAAAAACUCCCUGUUGGUCAGGAAGGAACCUUAAGCAGAACCACGGCACAUAAGGGGGAACCCAUCUGCUUGAGGUCGGCCGGGUGGAGACAUGCAUCUGUACACAUUGCCUGCCCAGCUCUUUCUUUCUGUCUCUCUCUCUCUGUCGGUCGGGUCUGUCUGUCUCUCUCUCUCCCCCCGGGGAAGAUGGGACACCACUGCUGCAGGGAGGCCUCUCCGCACAGACCUCCUCCCAGUGCAGCUGAGGCCACGGCACGGCUGAGUUAUAACAGUUUGGCACACUUAUGUUAUUGCUUUUCUCUCUGUCUCUCUCGUAGUUUGGCCUAGCUACAAUAUCACACACACUCUCUAAAACAUGACACACAUACACUUUCAGACUUUCUCUCAGUGUGGCUGUGCUAUAAUCUCUAUCUCUUUCUCAAACACUCUCGCUCUCUCUAGGAGGAACAAAAAUAGCUGAUGGCUUCUUUGCCGUGUAGAAUCGUGGAGAAUUGCGGAAUAAUUGCAUUUGGGCC
ensembl:lncRNA